rnacentral:rRNA from 1 species
UGGGGAAUUUUGGACAAUGGGCGCAAGCCUGAUCCAGCCAUGCCGCGUGCGGGAAGAAGGCCUUCGGGUUGUAAACCGCUUUUGUCAGGGAAGAAAAGGUUCUGGUUAAUACCUGGGACUCAUGACGGUACCUGAAGAAUAAGCACCGGCUAACUACGUGCCAGCAGCCGCGGUAAUACGUAGGGUGCAAGCGUUAAUCGGAAUUACUGGGCGUAAAGCGUGCGCAGGCGGUUAUGCAAGACAGAGGUGAAAUCCCCGGGCUCAACCUGGGAACUGCCUUUGUGACUGCAUAGCUAGAGUACGGUAGAGGGGGAUGGAAUUCCGCGUGUAGCAGUGAAAUGCGUAGAUAUGCGGAGGAACACCGAUGGCGAAGGCAAUCCCCUGGACCUGUACUGACGCU